rnacentral:misc_RNA from 1 species
GUUGGUGAACCAGCGGAGGGAUCAUUACAAGAAGCCGAAAGGCUACUUAAAACCAUCGCGAACUUGUCCAAGUUGCUUCGGCGGCGCGGCCCCCUUCGCGGGGGUGCCGCUGCCCCGGCCUCUCCGGAGGUGCGGGGCGCCCGCCGGAGGUCACAAACUCUGCAUCACAGUGGUAUCUCUGAGUGAAAAGCAAAUAAGUCAAAACUUUCAACAACGGAUCUCUUGGUUCUG